GACGAACGCUGGCGGCGUGCCUAAUACAUGCAAGUUGAGCGAUGAAGAUUGGUGCUUGCACCAAUUUGAAGAGCAGCGAACGGGUGAGUAACGCGUGGGGAAUCUGCCUUUGAGCGGGGGACAACAUUUGGAAACGAAUGCUAAUACCGCAUAACAACUUUAAACAUAAGUUUUAAGUUUGAAAGAUGCAAUUGCAUCACUCAAAGAUGAUCCCGCGUUGUAUUAGCUAGUUGGUGAGGUAAAGGCUCACCAAGGCGAUGAUACAUAGCCGACCUGAGAGGGUGAUCGGCCACACUGGGACUGAGACACGGCACAAACUGCUACGGGAGGCAGCAGUAGGGAAUCUUCGGCAAUGGACGAAAGUCUGACCGAGAAACGCCGCGUGAGUGAAGAAGGUUUUCGGAUCGUAAAACUCUGUUGGUAGAGAAGAACGUUGGUGAGAGUGGAAAGCUCAUCAAGUGACGGUAACUACUCAGAAAGGGACGGCUAACUACGUG
rnacentral:rRNA from 1 species